rnacentral:rRNA from 1 species
AGAGUUUGAUCCUGGCUCAGGAUGAACGCUAGCUACAGGCUUAACACAUGCAAGUCGAGGGGCAGCAUGACGAUAGCUUGCUAUUGUUGAUGGCGACCGGCGCACGGGCGAGUAACGCGUAUCCAACCUUCCCGUUGCUAGGGGAUAACCUUGCGAAAGUAAGACUCAUACCCUAUGAGGUUCUUCGCAGGCAUCUAAAGAGAACGAAAGAUUUAUCGGCAACGGAUGGGGAUGCGUCUGAUUAGGUUGUUGGCGGGGUAACGGCCCACCAAGCCUACGAUCAGUAGGGGUUCUGAGAGGAAGGUCCCCCACAUUGGAACUGAGACACGGUCCAAACUCCUACGGGAGGCAGCAGUGAGGAAUAUUGGUCAAUGGACGGAAGUCUGAACCAGCCAAGUAGCGUGCAGGAUGACGGCCCUAUGGGUUGUAAACUGCUUUUAUGUGGGAAUAAAGUGAGGGACGUGUCCCUUUUUGUAGGUACCACAUGAAUAAGGACCGGCUAAUUCCGUGCCAGCAGCCGCGGUAAUACGGAAGGUCCGGGCGUUAUCCGGAUUUAUUGGGUUUAAAGGGAGCGUAGGCCGUCUUUUAAGCGUGUUGUGAAAUACUGUCGCUCAACGACAGAGGUGCAGCGCGAACUGGGAGACUUGAGUGCGCGGAAUGCAGGCGGAAUUCGUCGUGUAGCGGUGAAAUGCUUAGAUAUGACGAAGAACUCCGAUUGCGAAGGCAGCUUGCAGUAGCGUAACUGACGCUGAAGCUCGAAAGUGCGGGUAUCGAACAGGAUUAGAUACCCUGGUAGUCCGCACGGUAAACGAUGGAUGCUCGCUGUGUGCCCUUGGGUACGCGGCCAAGCGAAAGCGUUAAGCAUCCCACCUGGGGA